CGAGCGAAACGGGAAGAGCCCAAACCAACAAGCUUGCUUGUUGGGGUUGUAGGACUCCGAUAUGGUAGUCUGUUAGUAUAGUUGAAGGAUUUGGAAAAUUCCGCUAAAGAGGGUGAAAGCCCCGUAGACGAAAUGCUAACAACACCUAGGAGGAUCCUGAGUACGGCGGAACACGAGAAAUUCCGUCGGAAUCCGCGGGGACCAUCCCGCAAGGCUAAAUACUCCCUAGUGACCGAUAGUGAACCAGUACCGUGAGGGAAAGGUGAAAAGCACCCCGGAAGGGGAGUGAAAUAGAUCCUGAAACCGUGUGCCUACAACAAGUCAAAGCUCGUUAAUGAGUGAUGGCGUGCCUUUUGUAGAAUGAACCGGCGAGUUACGAUUGCAUGCGAGGUUAAGUCGAAGAGACGGAGCCGUAGCGAAAGCGAGUCUGAAUAGGGCGAAUGAGUAUGUAGUCGUAGACCCGAAACCAUGUGAUCUACCCAUGUCCAGGUUGAAGGUGCGGUAAAACGCACUGGAGGACCGAACCCACGUACGUUGAAAAGUGCGGGGAUGAGGUGUGGGUAGCGGAGAAAUUCCAAACGAACUUGGAGAUAGCUGGUUCUCUCCGAAAUAGCUUUAGGGCUAGCCUCGGAAUUGAGAAUGAUGGAGGUAGAGCACUGUUUGGACUAGGGGCCCAUCUCGGGUUACCGAAUUCAGAUAAACUCCGAAUGCCAUUCAUUUAUAUCCGGGAGUCAGACUGCGAGUGAUAAGAUCCGUAGUCGAAAGGGAAACAGCCCAGACCACCAGCUAAGGUCCCAAAAUAUAUGUUAAGUGGAAAAGGAUGUGGGGUUGCACAGACAACUAGGAUGUUGGCUUAGAAGCAGCCACCAUUUAAAGAGUGCGUAAUAGCUCACUAGUCGAGUGACCCUGCGCCGAAAAUGUACCGGGGCUAAACAUAUUACCGAAGCUGUGGACUACACCAUUAGGUGUAGUGGUAGGAGAGCGUUCUAAGGGCGUUGAAGGUCGAUCGUGAGGACGGCUGGAGCGCUUAGAAGUGAGAAUGCCGGUAUGAGUAGCGAAAGACAGGUGAGAAUCCUGUCCACCGUAUGACUAAGGUUUCCUGGGGAAGGCUCGUCCGCCCAGGGUUAGUCGGGACCUAAGCCGAGGCCGAUAGGCGUAGGCGAUGGACAACAGGUUGAUAUUCCUGUACCAGUUGUUUUUGUUUGAGCAAUGGAGGGACGCAGUAGGCUAAGGAAUGCAUGCGAUUGGAAGUGCAUGUCCAAGCAAUGAGUCUUGAGUAGAGUUAAAUGCUUUACUCUUUAAGGACAAGUUGUGACGGGGAGCGAAAUAAUAGUAGCGAAGUUCCUGAUGUCACACUGCCAAGAAAAGCUUCUAGUGAGAAAACAACUGCCCGUACCGUAAACCGACACAGGUAGUCGAGGAGAGUAUCCUAAGGUGAGCGAGCGAACUCUCGUUAAGGAACUCGGCAAAAUGACCCCGUAACUUCGGGAGAAGGGGUGCUGACUUCGGUCAGCCGCAGUGAAUAGGCCCAAGCGACUGUUUAUCAAAAACACAGGUCUCUGCAAAAUCGUAAGAUGAAGUAUAGGGGCUGACGCCUGCCCGGUGCUGGAAGGUUAAGAGGAUGGGUUAGCUUCGGCGAAGCUCAGAAUUGAAGCCCCAGUAAACGGCGGCCGUAACUAUAACGGUCCUAAGGUAGCGAAAUUCCUUGUCGGGUAAGUUCCGACCCGCACGAAAGGCGUAACGAUUUGGGCACUGUCUCAACGAGAGACUCGGUGAAAUUUUAGUACCUGUGAAGAUGCAGGUUACCCGCGACAGGACGGAAAGACCCCAUGGAGCUUUACUGUAGUUUGAUAUUGAGUGUUUGUACCACAUGUACAGGAUAGGUAGGAGCCGAUGAGACCGGAACGCUAGUUUCGGAGGAGGCGCUGGUGGGAUACUACCCUUGUGUUAUGAACCCUCUAACCCGCACCACUAAUCGUGGUGGGAGACAGUGUCAGAUGGGCAGUUUGACUGGGGCGGUCGCCUCCUAAAAGGUAACGGAGGCGCCCAAAGGUUCCCUCAGAAUGGUUGGAAAUCAUUCGAAGAGUGUAAAGGCAGAAGGGAGCUUGACUGCGAGACCUACAAGUCGAGCAGGGACGAAAGUCGGGCUUAGUGAUCCGGUGGUUCCGCAUGGAAGGGCCAUCGCUCAACGGAUAAAAGCUACCCUGGGGAUAACAGGCUUAUCUCCCCCAAGAGUCCACAUCGACGGGGAGGUUUGGCACCUCGAUGUCGGCUCGUCGCAUCCUGGGGCUGUAGUCGGUCCCAAGGGUUGGGCUGUUCGCCCAUUAAAGCGG
rnacentral:rRNA from 1 species